AUCGGACUCUCGCGAGAGUCUCUCGAUCGAUGUAAACACGUUUUUCAGUUUGUAUACCUCUGUUUACCUCCGCCAAUAGCAAGUCAUAGAUUAAUAUCUAUGAUUCAAACGAGAUACCUCAGCAGGAUUUCUGCCGCGCAGAUAACCUCUUGCUAACAGAUAAUAAUGGCAAACGCACUCGGUCAGUCGUGCCAGUUUCACCCAAUGAUUGUCAAACUACAAAUACACAUACCUCGAAAAGUCAAAAGCAACCGACCAGAUGCAGUUCUUCGAACGAAUGGAAAAAUUUCACCGGGUCUAGAAGACGACUAAGAAGUUGUCAACGAAAGAAAUCUGAAUCGGAAGAAAACAGCAGCGCCUCAUCCAACUCUGAUUCCGACACACGUCCACCUUUUCGGCAUGCAAGUAGAAGUGUGUUAUCUAGACUUGUCCAGUAUACCUUUUACUCUGUGAUAAAUACAGGUGUGGUGAUGGACCAAGGUGUGACGGCUGCUGCGCUUUGCAGAUCAUUUCUCGCUCUCUAUCUAAAGCUAGACGAAAGCAACGUUCAUUCGAGUCUGGUUGAUUCAUGGGAUAGAGCAGGGUAAGGUUCUGAUAAUAAUUAACCUGUUUGUAUGCUAACGAGUAAACAGUUUCAAGUUUUGUAACAACAUACAACAACAGAACAAUUUGGUAUUGCCAACAGAAGAUAACAGUGUUGAAAGGGUAUAAUCACAAACACCUCGUAUACCUGGCAAAGAAAGUACGUCAUGCAGCUGUUGAAUCAAACACUUUAUACAGAACAACUGGUCAGGCCAGAGUAAUGCUGGUACUAACAGCGUUUGGCCGAGAGGAAGAUAUGGAAGAAGCAUUUGACGAUCUGUGUUACUUACAUUGACGUCCAUGUAAACAACUUGAUUUGUCGGCAUAGAUGUAGCAGGCAACUUCACUGCCACAACGUGACAUAUCUCUUUGACCGUGUGUGGCUUAUACUGUGUGUCAAGUCAUUAGAAGCUAUGUUACUUAUUUAAAGAGCCUCAAAGUCGUUUUGGACAGAAAUUCAAGUCUAACAAAUAUUUUGAAUAAAUAAUAACGAAUCAAUACAGGGUUGCACAUAUCACGGUUUAUAAA